GCAGCAAGCUGUGUGGUCUGCUCUCCUGGCCCCAACAGCCCGUCUGCAGCACUGGCAGAAGUGAGCCCAGGAGAUCUCAAAUCCCAGCUCAAAGACAACCCAUUCCCUAUGGGACUGGAGUCUGGUCCUGGGCAUCUGAGGAAGAAAUGCUUGACAGUAGUCAGUGGAGAAGUUAAGGUUUUAGGAGAUGGGGGCUGUGAGAUUUCCAGGAGCUGUGGGUGGGAUGGCCAGCUGCUUCCUCUUCCUGCUGAUCUUCUCCAAGUGACCUCUGAAGGAUCUGAAGCAUUAUCCCAGAGGUAGGUGUGAGGCUAUGCUUGCAGGUGCAGCGUUUCUCAUACCCUGUAUUUUUCC